UAGGGAAUCUUCCGCAAUGGACGCAAGUCUGACGGAGCAACGCCGCGUGAGUGAAGAAGGAUUUCGGUUCGUAAAACUCUGUUGUUAGAGAAGAACAGCGCAUAGAGUAACUGUUAUGCGUGUGACGGUAUCUAACCAGAAAGGGACGGCUAACUACGUGCCAGCAGCCGCGGUAAUACGUAGGUCCCGAGCGUUGUCCGGAUUUAUUGGGCGUAAAGCGAGCGCAGGCGGUUAGAUAAGUCUGAAGUUAAAGGCAGUGGCUCAACCAUUGUAGGCUUUGGAAACUGUUUAACUUGAGUGCAGAAGGGGAGAGUGGAAUUCCAUGUGUAGCGGUGAAAUGCGUAGAUAUAUGGCGGAACACCGGUGGCGAAAGCGGCUCUCUGGUCUGUAACUGACGCUGAGGCUCGAAAGCGUGGGGAGCGAACAGG
rnacentral:rRNA from 1 species